rnacentral:rRNA from 1 species
UACGUAGGUGGCAAGCGUUUGUCCGGAUUUAUUGGGCGUAAAGCGCGCGCAGGUGGUGCGGUAAGUCUGCCGUGAAAUCUCCCGGCUCAACUGGGAGGGGGCGGUGGAGACUGCCGGACUGGAGGGACCUAGAGGCCGGUGGAAUUCCCGGUGGAGUGGUGAAAUGCGUAGAGAUCGGGAGGAACACCAGUGGCGAAGGCGGCCGGCUGGGGGUGCCCUGACGCUGAGGCGCGAAAGCGUGGGGAGCGAACCGG